rnacentral:ribozyme from 1 species
UUUGUUUCUAGUGGCUGCCCUGCUUGUGUACAGGCUUGAGCUCUUGGACUCUGAAGUCUGGACCGCAUUAUCAACCUUAACAUAGAAAAUUUAAGGAAAAACUAAUUGUAAAG